AACCGUAGAAGCACAUACCGGGCUAGGAACUGGUGUGUGUGGAGGUUUACAAAGGUAAGGGGUUUACCAUAGCCUAGCUAGGUGAAAACCGAAAGAAAAUCCCACAA
rnacentral:sRNA from 12 species